UACGAAGGGGGCUAGCGUUGUUCGGAAUCACUGGGCGUAAAGGGUGCGUAGGCGGGUCUUUAAGUCAGGGGUGAAAUCCUGGAGCUCAACUCCAGAACUGCCUUUGAUACUGAGGAUCUUGAGUUCGGGAGAGGUGAGUGGAACUGCGAGUGUAGAGGUGAAAUUCGUAGAUAUUCGCAAGAACACCGGUGGCGAAGGCGGCCAACUGGACCAUUACUGACGCUGAGGCGCGAAAGCGUGGGGAGCAAACAGG
rnacentral:rRNA from 1 species